AACCAGCACGUCAAGUGGUCAGGAUGAUUAUUGGGCCUAAAGCAUCCGUAGCUCGUUUUGUAAGUUUUCGGUUAAAUCCAUACGCUCAACGUAUGGGCUGCCGGGAAUACUGCAUAACUAGGAAGUGGGAGAGGUAGACGGUACUCGAUAGGAAGGGGUAAAAUCCUUUGAUCUAUUGAUGACCACCUGUGGCGAAGGCGGUCUACCAGAACACGUUCGACGGUGAGGGAUGAAAGCUGGGGGAGCAAACCGG
rnacentral:rRNA from 1 species